rnacentral:lncRNA from 1 species
GUCUGAUUUACUUGAGGCCGGUCGGACUGAAUUUCACCAGGUGCGGCUGAGGUUCUAAAAUUGGCCACGGUUUUCCCUGAGUGUUGUCUUUAGUACUCACACACACAGAGUAGGCUCAGAAGGAAGAUUCCUCUUCGUUCCGGCAAGGGACACAAGGGAGGAGGGCCAGCACUGCGUCAGGCUGGAAAGGGAGCUGCAGGGGCUUUGUGCAAUGUGCUGAGCUCUGUCCUGCGCAGAGGUCGCAGACAGCUGGCUCACUACUGCCCGGCCUGGGAGGCUCAAACCUCUGAAUCUCUUUCCUCCCGUCUCUCACACACAGAGCUCCGGGCUCUUCACCCUGCCGCCACGAAAGGGAGGAGGCGUAGGCCGGCUGCCUUUCCAAAAGAUCCUGUCUUCCUUCUUCCGAAGAAGCAGGACCACGAAACCGCGCAAGCUUUGAAGGCCGGCGAAAGGGCUCCCCCGUCGGUGGCGCUGGAGGGAGAAGCGUUUAGUCACUGUUUCAUUAGGCACUAUUUGAACCUUGCAACAUGUGACCUGGAUCUGAACCGUCAAAACAAGCAACAAGAAAAGGUAUUCUGAACGCAGCACUGUCAAUCAACCAGGAGAAAUGAGCAGCGUGGUAUCGAAAUCAUAAUCAACUUCCAGUUCUUCAGCGCCUCACUUGGGCCUUACGUGGGAAGCAAGUGUGUGGAGGACCCCGCGUGGGCAAAGGCCUGGUCUCUGAACCUGCAGGUAGAAGAUGAAAAACACCACCUGGGUUCGGUAGACCUGGCAUAGAAAAGGCUCCGGUCCAGGCUAGAAGGGCCUGGAUGGCCCGAGGCCUCCAAGAUAUCAGACGGACGGGCUGGACACCCACGGCCUGAAGGCCAUAUUUCGCGUCCUCCAAAUCAGCUGCCUAGGGCUGGCCGUGACCGGAGGGAAUUGGAAAGAAAAGUCCAAACGCUGAACGAGAGGCGGGGUAGGGCGCCCUUUGGAAACCGCCCUGGGUUUUGUUACUCCAGGGCCCCCGGAGCUUCGGAGCAGCUACCUGGGUCUGGCAGGCGCAGAGGUACCCUAUGCAAAUGGUUCACUAUUAGGCGAGAAAGAAAUACUUCAAAUGGCCCUUUGUAACCUUCUAUAGAAAAUCGAG